rnacentral:rRNA from 1 species
GACGAACGCUGGCGGCGUGCUUAACACAUGCAAGUCGUACGGUAAGGCCCUUUCGGGGGUACACGAGUGGCGAACGGGUGGGUAACACGUGAGUAACCUGCCCACAACUUUGGGAUAACGCUAGGAAACUGGUGCUAAUACUGGAUAUGUGCUCCUGCUGCAUGGUGGGGGUUGGAAAGCUCCGGCGGUUGUGGAUGGACUCGCGGCCUAUCAGCUUGUUGGUGGGGUAGUGGCCUACCAAGGCGGCGACGGGUAGCCGGCCUGAGAGGGUGACCGGCCACAUUGGGACUGAGAUACGGCCCAGACUCCUACGGGAGGCAGCAGUGGGGAAUAUUGCACAAUGGGCGCAAGCCUGAUGCAGCAACGCCGCGUGCGGGAUGACGGCCUUCGGGUUGUAAACCGCUUUCAGCAGGGACGAAGCUUUUUGUGACGGUACCUGCAGAAGAAGCACCGGCUAACUACGUG